rnacentral:lncRNA from 1 species
CGACUUCUCUCAGGCUGCCGUUUUGACUGUUUUCAGGAGUGAGAGAAUAACCUCCUGCUACAGAAAAUAUAACUCAAGAUUCCUAAAUUUCUGAAGGGAGCUGAUCACAGAGAUACAGGAAAGACAGGAGGUCUAAGUUUAACCUAAGUGCCGUGUUGCUGAUGAACAUCUUUAUAUGCAAAACCGGAGCACCCAGAGAAAACCCACCAAACGCAGAGAGAAUUUGCAAACUACACACAGAAAUGCCUGCUGAUCCAGCUGCGGCUCGAGUCAGCAUCCUUGCUGUAAGGCAACAGCACUACCUAUUGUUCCACCACGUCACGCUCUUAUUAAAUUAUAUUUAUAUAAUUUUGUGUUUCAGUACAUGCUAUUUUGGGAAGACAAAAUAUAUUCAUAAGCUCUCAGAAAAUUCAAUAAGAGAAUUCAUUCAUUCAUUUUAAGAGAAUUAACUGCACAAUUACUUGAAAUGCGUGGAUGGGAUUACAUUAUUUGUUAACCCAAAGUGAGUUUCUCUUUCUUUGCAGUAUUGGAUGCCUGAUUGCAGUUCAACUCCAAACUCAGUUGGACCAGCUGAUCAGUGUCUUCAGUAUUACCACAAGCUACUGGGCAGAUGUGUGGACAGCUAUGAGCCAAACUUGGGACGUUUGGUUUUUAGCAGGUGUAGAGACCGUCUGGGCAGCAGAAACAAGACAACUAAUCAUAUUUAGAUACAAUCAAAUGUCCAAACCAUCUCUGAGUGAAUGACAUCAAGGAAACAGGAUCAAAAAGAUCAUUCAAUAUAGAAUGUUUCAUAGUUGGUUAUAUUUUUCAGGUCCUCCUGAUCAUUCUGUUCUCCUGGUUGUGAGGAUGUGCAGAGGCUGUAUUUGUCAGUGUUAAAAGACUUGUGCAGCUGUAUGCAGACAUACAAGCAGCCGACAAAGAGUUCUGGAGCAGGACAGACAGGGCAGCACGGUGGCGCAGAGGGUAGCACGUUUGCCUCACAGCAAGAAGGUUGCUGCUUCAAGCUUCGGCUGGAUUGGUGUACGCUGAUGGUCUGCUGAGAAUUCUGCUGAGUUGAAGGGAUCCUCCUGUCAGACAACCUCUCCAAAGUACAAUAGGACUAGGUUCCCACUACAAGGAUUAGAUAUGGCUACUGCAGUCCCGGUUUGGGCCAGCCUCACUUGUGAAGACUAAAGAUGAAGACAACAUACAAGAACAAUUUCGAGGAUGGCGACAUACUUUUUAUUCCACCUAUAUAUCCCCUUUUAAGUGUAAGCAACAUUCCACAAGAUAAAACAAAAGUAAAUGACAGGUUAUUUCUUUUCAUUUUGUCUGUUUUCUUGGAACAUUGUACACAAUUUACAACCAGUUUUAUUUAUAUAAAUAUAGGUCAGAGCAAGAAAAUGUUAUGUUUUCUUCUGGAGAAAGUCUUAUUUCUUUUAUUUCGGCUAGAAUAAAAACAGUUUUGAAUUUUUUAAAAAACAUUUUAAGGUCAAUAUUAUUAGCCCCUUUAAGCAAUUUUUUUCGACUGUCUACAGAACAAACCAUCGAUAUACAAUAACUUGCCUAAUUACCCUAACCUGUCUAGUUAAGCUAAUUAACCUAAUUAAGCCUUUAAAUGUCACUUUAAGCUGUAUAGAAGUGUCUUGAAAAUAUCUAGUCAAAUAUUAUUUACUCGGUUAUUAGAAAUGAGUUAUUAAAACUAUUGUGAUUAGAAAUGUGUUAAAAAAUAUUUCCGUUAAACAGAAAUUAAGGGAUUAUAUAUAUAUAUUUAUAUAUAUAUAUAUAUAUAUAUAUAUAUAUAUAUAUAUAUAUAUAUAUAUAUAUAUAUAUAUAUAUAUAUAUAUAUAUAUAUAUAGAAUGACAAAAUCUGUUUUGUGUCGUGCAUUAGAGUUUGCCUAAAAAAAACUGGUUAUCUCUGAGAAGUAAUGUUAUUUUAUAUUAUUGAUGUGUUAUUAGUUCAGAGGAGAUUGCAAAUUGUUGAAUGCCAUUUAUAAAAAAAAAUGUAAAAAAAAAUUGACUACAGACUUUAAUAAAAUUUUAUCAGACAAUUAUUUUAAUUUGUAUGAUUUUAUUUACUACUGUAAAUAUUGUUUGCUUGGUAUUUAUUUUGUGUUUGUGUACUCUUGUUUUAUUGUAACUCCCUGAAGAAAGUCUUUUGGAUACUGAACACAUGACUGGUAUUAUCUUGUAUUUUAAAAUUAUAGUCUUGGAAACAUGCAUUUUCUUUAACACUAUUUAAGAAAUUAUAAGCAUUAUAACAUGUGCUUACACAAGUGAUUUGUGUUUUUACUAUAGUAAACUAUAGUCACCCUUAGUGUACAUGUUUUGAAGUACUUGUAAAUAUUCCUAUGGUCUUAAUGUAAAUGCUGCACUUUGUAUUUAAAAUCUUUAUUGCACAGUAUUUCAGCCAUGGUUAUAGUACAACUUGUUGGUUUUGUUUUAAACGUAGUAAAACAUGGUUAUGUGUGAUAAAAGUAUGUUAAUCUAUUUGUAUGUUUGUGAAAAAUAUUAAUAAAUCUUCAACUGUUA